ACGAACGCUGGCGGCAUGCCUAACACAUGCAAGUCGAACGAGACCUUCGGGUCUAGUGGCGCACGGGUGCGUAACGCGUGGGAACCUGCCUUUAGGUUCGGAAUAACUCAGAGAAAUUCGAGCUAAUACCGGAUGAUGUCUUCGGACCAAAGAUUUAUCGCCUUUAGAUGGGCCCGCGUUGGAUUAGCUAGUUGGUGGGGUAAAGGCCUACCAAGGCGACGAUCCAUAGCUGGUCUGAGAGGAUGAUCAGCCACACUGGGACUGAGACACGGCCCAGACUCCUACGGGAAGCAGCAGUGGGGAAUAUUGGACAAUGGGCGAAAGCCUGAUCCAGCAAUGCCGCGUGAGUGAUGAAGGCCUUAGGGUUGUAAAGCUCUUUUACCCGAGAUGAUAAUGACAGUAUCGGGAGAAUAAGCUCCGGCUAACUCCGUG
rnacentral:rRNA from 1 species